rnacentral:lncRNA from 1 species
CCCAAAGCCCCCCGGUACAUAGUUGUAUAUUCUUCGAUGUGGGUCCUUCUAGUUGUGGCAUGUGGGAUGCUGCCUCAGCGUGGUUUGAUGAGCAGUGUCAUGUCCGCGCCCAGGAUUCGAACCAACGAAACACUGGGCCGCCUGCAGUGGAGCGCGCGAACUUAACCGCUCGGCCACGGGGCCAGCCCCUCUUCCUUCAUUUCUCAGUGGAACCAUCUCUUCCUCAGGGAAGUCUUCCCUGGGCCCAAUUUAGAUCAAGUUCUGUUAUGUUAUGAUCGACCAUCACCCUUGUGAAGUUAUGUAUAUGCAGUGGACCAAUACUAAUUGUACUUUUUAUCAGAUUAAUCUAAACAGCAUUACAUAUAUAUGUUCUCUAUUGUCUAAAAUUACAAUGCAGUAGGAGUUGGAAAAAAGUAUAACUGAAGAACUAGAAAACGCUGCUGCUGAAUUUGAAUCUGGAUCCUGCAGAGACUUUCCUCCAGGAUCUACUGAUGUGUCAUGUCUAAAUCAAGAUCUAGUUUUGAAAAUGUCACAAGAAUACGUCCAGCUUUUGAAGAAAAGUUAUAUGACCUGAAAAAUAAACAGCAUAAAUUUAUUUACUAGGCAGCUUCCAUAACAUUUAAAUUAUUUCCCAUUAAACAUAUGACAUAUGAAAAUCUUAAAGGAAAAUAUUUUUGUAUCAUAUGUGCAUGAUCCGUGUCCUCAGCACUGUUCCCAUGUGCUGAACUAGUGAACGAAGUUCCA